ACAUAGGUUGGCAGGAGGAUGGUGCUGCAAAACGAGAACACAUUUUCUCAGUUUGGGAUCAUGUUCCUGCAAAGUCUGACAUAACCAUUUUAAAUCACAAAAUGAGAUUAGCUCAGUUCAUUAGAGCAUGAUGCUAAUAAUGCCCAAGUUGUGAGUUUGAUCCCCAUACAGACCAUUCACUUAAGAGCUGGACUUGAUAAUCCUUGGGUCCCUUCCAACUCAGAAUAUUCUGUGAUUCUGUGAAAUUUCUCCUCCAGCUUGAAGAGCAGGGCCUAUAUGUAUAUGUGUGAAGACUUCUAUACCAACACUAAGUUCAGUUUGCAUGGACAGAUUUUGGUAGCAGGGGAGCUAACAGAGGCGGCUGCUGUAAGAAACUGCCAGAAGCUUCCACUGCGGCCCCAGGAGGAGUCCGUCAUCAGAGCAGGUGAACACCUGAAAGGAACCUGUGAAAACUUUUUGGAGCACAGUCCUGGCAGGGACCCGUGAACUCAGAGAGGGAUGGUCAAGCUGAAGCAGGUUUCCUGGUAGGACUUGUGUCCCUGUGGAGGACCCACACUGGAGCAGACUGUGGCUGAAAGACUGCACCCUGUGAAAAGGGACCCGUGUUGGAGCAGUUAAUGGAGAACCACUGCCUGUAGUCUGGAUGCACAUUGGAGAAGUUUGUGGAGGACUGUCUCCUGUGGGAGGGACCCCACACUGGAGCAGAGGAAGGACCCCUCUCCUUGCGCAGGAACAACUUGUGAUGAACUGGCUGUAACCCUAAUUUCCUGUCUCCCUGCACAGUAAUCAAUUCAAGUAAGAUCCUGAAGUUCAGUCCGUUCUGCUGGCAAUGGUAUUUGCGAGGAGCUGCAGAAACGGCAGAAGAGGCAGCAUGUGUCCUGUUUGCAGCGCUGAAAUGACACCAGGAUGCUUGGGCACAGACGGAGGAGAGCGGAUAGUGCCCCGGUGCGCUGAAGGGCUGAACUAGGAUCACUGCUACUGUAAAGCCUUAUGCAGGUGGCAAGUUGAGAGGAGCGGAGCCCCACCAGGAAAAAAAUCUUUGGGCGCGCCUUGGAGGUCCGUCUAUCCCCCCUGCCCCUGCUGGGACAGAGAACUCCUGGCUGGCUCGCCAAAAUGUUUUGCGGAGAAAAGAAGAAACUUCACAACUUUAUAAAAGUUGUAAAGCUCGUGCUUCACAGUUGUGUGCAUGAUCUGGUAGGAUGGUGAGACUACCACGUUUUCCUUGGACAAGUAUCAGAACUUCAACUUGAACAAGCUGGGAUUAAGUUUUACUCAUUUUAGAAGAGCAUUCCCAUCCAACAUAUGGACAAGACAGUUUGAAGAAGCACACUGCUUAAAUUGACAAUGAUUUAUUGUGUUUAGGAACAUUCAAUAAACACCAAUCUUUUAGCUUCAGUUUGGAAAUCCUUCCCCAUCAAAAAUCAGUUAUUUGUGUUGUUUUUUCUGGCAUAAACCCCAUUGCCAGCAAUGGAUGUAUCAGAAAAGAAGUUAAUAAAUACAAACAGACAGCAGUUUUCUAAACAUACCUCCUAUUUUAAAGGCAUGAUACAGAUUUACUAAACAAAUAUCAAACAAGUUCUUCACAGAAGAAAAUUUUGUUGCAAGCUGUCUCUAAACAUUGUUUUCUUCACUAAUGCUGGUAGUUUAUUUCAUGGAUUAUGGUAUUUUUGAACAGUAAUGAUGAAUCAUUUAAAAACAAGCCUUUUCCCCCUUUUCCUUUGCCAGAUGUAUGCUGAGAUACGUAGCUAAUACUGAACUGUGUGAAUUUAAGAGUGGUGUGCCUCUUGUUGAGCGUGUCAUGGCAAACAUGAAGAAACAGCAAUAUGGUACUUUUUUUACAAGGGAUCUGAGGAAUUUAUUUUUUCAUCUUGAUUUUAAACCACUGUUCAAGUGUUAAAGGUAUCACAUUUAAGUGUAACAGAUGUUUUGCGUAACUUUCUGUGAAGUGUAAAAACAAUGGAAGAUUCCUGUUUCUGAGGAAAAUAAUUUUCAAGUACUUAAAUUUGAAUAUCCCUCUAAACUCCAUUCAUAUCGUAUUAAAAAUGUGUAUAAAAGCAUGAAGACUACAGAAAACCAAUUAACAUAACAGAGUUAAUCUUGAAUAAGAUUUUCCACAACUGUAUUUUACAUAUAACCAAACUCCUGCUUUAGCAAAAGCAAAAAGAAUAAAAAUAAAUUCUCUCCCAA